UAGGGAAUCUCCCACAAUGGGCGAAAGCCUGAUGGAGCAACGCCGCGUGUGUGAUGAAGGGUUUCGGCUCGUAAAACACUGUUGUAAGAGAAGAAUGACAUUGAGAGUAACUGUUCAAUGUGUGACGGUAUCUUACCAGAAAGGAACGGCUAAAUACGUGCCAG
rnacentral:rRNA from 1 species